CGAGCGAACGCGUGGCGGGCAUGCUUAACAACAUGCAAGUCGAACGGAGAAAGGGUAGCUUGCUAUCUUUUCUUAGUGGCGGACGGGUGAGUAACGCGUGGGUAACCUGCCCUUUGCAGGGGGAGUAACAGUGAGAAAUCGCUGCUAAUACCGCAUACCAACUUCUUUCGCAUGAAGGAAGUUUGAAAGAUUUAUCGGCAAAGGAUGGACCCGCGUUGGAUUAGCUAGUUGGUGAGAUAACAGCCCACCAAGGCAACGAUCCAUAGCCGGCCUGAGAGGGCGACCGGCCACACUGGGACUGAGACACGGCCCAGACUCCUACGGGAGGCAGCAGUGGGGAAUAUUGCACAAUGGGCGAAAGCCUGAUGCAGCGACGCCGCGUGAGGGAUGACGGCCUUCGGGUUGUAAACCUCUUUCAGCAGGGAAGAAGCGAAAGUGACGGUACCUGCAGAAGAAGCACCGGCUAACUACGUG
rnacentral:rRNA from 1 species